AGGAGCAGCAGUGGCUGGAGGCUCAGGAGGAGCUGCAUUUAGAGGAGGAGGAGCAGCAGCAACCUGCAGGUCGCCAAGAAGAUGAAUGGGACCACGCUCGACUGGUCGAGGAAAUAAGGGAGCUAAAGGCAAGGGUGUUGGCCCUGGAAAACCUGCAGCACCAGCGCCACCCUUAAAAAUUUUUUUUGUUAUUUUAUUUUUGUAUAUACAUAUGGCAUGUUUUUUGCCUUUUCUUCUAAUUUUAUAUUAUAAAAAAAUUUUUACUUCUA